AUUGAACGCUGGCGGCAGGCCUAACACAUGCAAGUCGAGCGGAUGAAGGGAGCUUGCUCCUGGAUUCAGCGGCGGACGGGUGAGUGAUGCCUAGGAAUCUGCCUGGUAGUGGGGGAUAACGUCCGGAAACGGGCGCUAAUACCGCAUACGUCCUGAGGGAGAAAGUGGGGGAUCUUCGGACCUCACGCUAUCAGAUGAGCCUAGGUCGGAUUAGCUAGUUGGUGGGGUAAAGGCCUACCAAGGCGACGAUCCGUAACUGGUCUGAGAGGAUGAUCAGUCACACGGAAACUGAGACACGGUCCAGACUCCUACGGGGGGCAGCAGUGGGGAAUAGGGGAAAAGGGGCGAAAGCCUGAUCCAGCCAUGCCGCGUGUGUGAAGAAGGUCUUCGGAUUGUAAAGCACUUUAAGUUGGGAGGAAGGGCAAUAAGUUAAUACCUUGCUGUUGUGACGUUACCAACAGAAUAAGCACCGUCAAACUGCG
rnacentral:rRNA from 1 species